GGACGAACGCUGGCGGCAUGCCUAAUACAUGCAAGUCGAGCGGASUUGAWRAGAAGCUUGCUUCUYUGAURGUUAGCGGCGGACGGGUGAGUAACACGUAGGCAACCUGCCCUCAAGUUUGGGACAACUACCGGAAACGGUAGCUAAUACCGAAUAAUUGUUUUCUUCGCCUGAAGGAAACUGGAAAGACGGAGCAAUCUGUCACUUGGGGAUGGGCCUGCGGCGCAUUAGCUAGUUGGUGAGGUAACGGCUCACCAAGGCGACGAUGCGUAGCCGACCUGAGAGGGUGAUCGGCCACACUGGGACUGAGACACGGCCCAGACUCCUACGGGAGGCAGCAGUAGGGAAUCUUCCGCAAUGGGCGAAAGCCUGACGGAGCAAUGCCGCGUGAGUGAUGAAGGUUUUCGGAUCGUAAAGCUCUGUUGCCAGGGAAGAACGCUUGGGAGAGUAACUGCUCUCAAGGUGACGGUACCUGAGAAGAAAGCCCCGGCUAACUAC
rnacentral:rRNA from 1 species